CGUGCCCUUCUCUACGGAAUAGCCUUUGGAAACGAAGAGUAAUACCGUAUACGCCCUUCGGGGAAAGAUUUAUCGGAGAAGGAUCGGCCCGCGUUAGAUUAGGUAGUUGGUGGGGUAACGGCCUACCAAGCCUACGAUCUAUAGCUGGUUUGAGAGGAUGAUCAGCCACACUGGGACUGAGACACGGCCCAGACUCCUACGGGAGGCAGCAGUGGGGAAUCUUAGACAAUGGGGGAAACCCUGAUCUAGCCAUGCCGCGUGAGUGACGAAGGCCCUAGGGUCGUAAAGCUCUUUCGCCAGGGAUGAUAAUGACAGUACCUGGUAAAGAAACCCCGGCUAACUCCGUGCCAGCAGCCGCGGUAAUACGGAGGGGGUUAGCGUUGUUCGGAAUUACUGGGCGUAAAGCGCACGUAGGCGGACUGAAAAGUUGGGGGUGAAAUCCCGGGGCUCAACCCCGAACUGCCUCCAAAACUGGCAGUCUAGAGUUCGAGAGAGGUGAGUGGAAUUCCGAGUGUAGAGGUGAAAUUCGUAGAUAUUCGGAGGAACACCAGUGGCGAAGGGGCUCACUGGCUCGAUACUGACGCUGAGGUGCGAAAGUGUGGGGAGCAAACAGGAUUAGAUACCCUGGUAGUCCACACCGUAAACGAUGAAUGCCAGACGUUGGCAAGCAUGCUUGUCAGUGUCACACCUAACGGAUUAAGCAUUCCGCCUGGGGAGUACGGUCGCAAGAUUAAAACUCAAAGGAAUUGACGGGGGCCCG
rnacentral:rRNA from 1 species